rnacentral:rRNA from 1 species
GAUGAACGCUGGCGGCGUGCUUAACACAUGCAAGUCGAACGAUGAAGCCCAGCUUGCUGGGUGGAUUAGUGGCGAACGGGUGAGUAACACGUGAGUAACCUGCCCUUGACUCUGGGAUAAGCCUGGGAAACUGGGUCUAAUACUGGAUAUGACUUCUCAUCGCAUGGUGGGGGGUGGAAAGAUUUAUUGGUCUUGGAUGGACUCGCGGCCUAUCAGCUUGUUGGUGAGGUAAUGGCUCACCAAGGCGACGACGGGUAGCCGGCCUGAGAGGGUGACCGGCCACACUGGGACUGAGACACGGCCCAGACUCCUACGGGAGGCAGCAGUGGGGAAUAUUGCACAAUGGGCGCAAGCCUGAUGCAGCGACGCCGCGUGAGGGAUGACGGCCUUCGGGUUGUAAACCUCUUUCAGUAGGGAAGAAGCGAGGGUGACGGUACCUGCAGAAGAAGCGCCGGCUAACUACGUG